rnacentral:rRNA from 1 species
AGGACGAACGCUGGCGGCGUGCUUAACACAUGCAAGUCGAGCGGUAAGGCCUCCUUCGGGGGGUACACGAGCGGCGAACGGGUGAGUAACACGUGGGUGACCUGCCCUCAGCUCUGGGAUAAGCCUGGGAAACCGGGUCUAAUGCCGGAUGGGACUGCUUGCCGCAUGGUGGGUGGUGGAAAGUUUUUUCGGCUGGGGAUGGGCCCGCGGCCUAUCAGCUUGUUGGUGGGGUGAUGGCCUACCAAGGCGGUG